UUUCCGAAGGUGAACCUGCGGAAGGAUCAUUAUCGUACAAAAUGUGGGGGGCAUGCGAGGGCUGUCGCUGACCCAAAAGUCAUGCACGCCCGAGUGUGUCCUCUUGCAUAAUAAUCCAUCUCACCCUUUGUGCAUCACCGCGUGGGCACCCUUCGGGAUCAUCUCGGAGGGGGGCUCGCGUUUUCACACAAACCCCCCUUUUAAGAGUGUAGAAUGACCACAUUUAUGCAAUCAAUACAACUUUCAACAACGGAUCUCUUGGCUCUC
rnacentral:misc_RNA from 1 species